GACAGCUAGCGGUUGGAUAGGUGAUGUUUGCAGUAAGUGACAUAAAAUGUUUUAGCCUAAAAAACGCGUGGCAUCCCUAAGAGCACCUUUAACUAACUCUCUUCAACUUUG